rnacentral:rRNA from 1 species
UUUAACAAUGUGCUAUCCUUGAAAUCCACCAGAUUCUGUCUGAUCUUGGAAGUUAGGCAGGGGCUGCUCUGCUUAGUACUUGGAUGGGAAACCACCAAUAAAUACCAGGUGUUGUAGGCU